GGAAAAAAUUAAAGUUUGUGCGUUUCCGUCGCUUGAGUUGAAAAAAGUGUGCGUGGAUUACGUAAUGUCGGUCGAUAUUGGACUGCUGGAUUUCCGGCUUAAAUCGUUCCGUCGGGGUGUCGAAGUGUCGCGAAAAGACAUCAAGUUGUGUGAAGACGGUGAAGACCUUAUAAUAUAUCUACUGGGGGUGAAAAAAAGCUACGUUAUCUUGACCGAGUACGAAUAUCAGUGCUUCCGGAAUGUUCCUGGUGCGGUCAUCACGACGGUUCAGUUUUUCAACCAGGGCCUGAUACCAAUCAGCAUCGAGUAUUGCCAGGCCGAGCGGAAUAAAGCCAAUCCAUCCGUCAAACAAUCGCGUAAGCUAGAAAACUGCUUGGUUAAAAACCCGUAUCAUGGUCAAUGCAUGCCAAUGUUGCGAUUCGGCUAUAUUACCAGAUGCUUCCCAAUUGAGGAUAAGCCUGUCAUCGAACACGUCAUCGACAAGCUGUUCAAUCUCACUGAAAGUUUAAGACGGACGGCAAGAUUGUCAGCUGUCUUGAAUUGUUACGUGUUGCCUGUGUCCGAUGAUGACCAAAUCGAUCAAACUGGGUCAUUUACAUUAAUUCGAGACAUCCCUCUCGAAAAAACAUCGCACAGCCCUGCUCAGUUGUACAAGCAUCGACGACCAAUUAGCGACGAGCUUCUAUCGUAUCCGCACAGAACGGGAGUUUUGACAGUUCUUGGCGUGAUUGGAGGUGGAAAAAAUUAAAGUUUGUGCGUUUCCGUCGAUUGAGUUGAAAAAAAAGUGUGCGUGGAUUACGUAAUGUCUGUCGAUAUUGGACUGCUGGAUUUCCGGCUUAAAUCGUUCCGCGUCGGUGUCGAAGUGUCGCGAAAAGACAUCAAGUUGUGUGAAGACGGUGAAGACCUCAUAAUAUAUCUACUGGGGGUGAAAAAAAGCUACGUUAUCUUGACCGAGGACGAAUAUCAGUGCUUCCGGAAUGUUCCUGGUGCGGUCAUCACGACGGUUCAGUUCUUCAACCAGGGCCUACCAAUCAGCAUCGAGUAUUGCCAGGCCGAGCGGAAUAAAGCCAAUCCAUCCUUCAAACAAUCGCGUAAGCUAGAAAACUGCUUGGUUAAAAACCGGUAUCAUGGUCAAUGCAUGCCGAUGUUGCGAUUCGGCUAUUUUACCAGAUGCUUCCCGAUUGCGGAUAAGCCUGUCAUCGAACACGUCAUCGACAAGCUGUUCAAUCUCACUGAAAGGUUAAGACAGACGGCAAGGGUUUCAGCUGUCUUGAAUCGCUACGUGUUGCCUGUGUCUGAUGAUGACCAAAUCGUGUAUGUACAACAUGAACACUCUACGUGGUUAUUUGAAAAAGUCAGUAACUGAAGCCGUCUUUUGAAAAAAUAGACGACAAUAAAACUCAGACUGGGCUAGAAAUCGAUCAAAAGAAAUAGGAUGUAAACAAACGUAAGAAACGUCGUAGUCGAGCUGCCUAUAGCUUUCUGGAUGACAGCAAAACAUUAAACCAAAAUUUUUUCUUCGCGAAAUUUUAACCAUUUUGGUAGUUCUCGUGUAUUAACCACAAAAUGGUUGAAACUUUUCUUCGCCAUUUUGGAGUUAACCUUAGAGCAAACCCAACGCGUUUUAUUAAAUUUUGAUUUUUUUCGCACGAAUUAAAUGUUUAAUAGUAGUAUAGUAAAUCUGUUCGUUCGUCGUUUCUGCUGGAAUUGCUGUCGAUAUCGCUGUCUCAGGAAACUCCCGGUACAUUCAGUACUAGAAGCAGAAAACUUGUAUUGCCUGUCAAAAUUAUUUUGCCAAGUUUUUGGUAAAUUUUGGCUAUAUCCGCCGGUGAAAAUCAGUCGAAAAUGAGAAAUAAGCCACUCCGAAAAGCUCUGGUCGGAAGAAAUUAGCAUCAUGGGCAUGGCACAGCAAAUGGUCCACAUCAAGCGGGAAUCGAACAAAACUGCCUGUAAGCCGCUGUCCGUGAAUCGGAAAAAAAAUUCUGGUCAGUCAUGGUCGGCUGAUUCUGGGUUCCGGCACCGGGGCAAGUAUAUCGCUAAGAAGGGAUGAUGCACGUGUUAGCCAAGCUGGGAUUGUCGUCAACAUCGUCAACAGCACAAUGUUAGAAGAACAGGAACAAGCUAAAGUUCGCAAGUCAGUCGAACAACAACAAAAUUUUAUUGGUUACGCCACCUGUUCCGCCUAUGCCUUCUUCAGAAAUGUUAGCUAGCGGUGGCUCCAGUCCAUCGCGUGAAGUUCAGGAAAUUUUAUCACUCAAGGAAAACGACUGUCUUAAUGAGCACUAUGAUUCCGACAAUAUCCUUUUGGAUGAUACCGAUGGGAUUGUUGGUGAUGAUGACGAGUUGAAUGAUCUGGAAAACGAAAUCAUCGACGACGAAGACGAGGAAACACGGUAAAAUUUCAAAAACAUAGACGACGAUGACGAUGACAAAGAAGAUAUUAAGUCCCGAAGGGAUCAACCAGAAUA